AGCAGCCGCGGUAAUUCCAGCUCCAAUAGCGUAUAUUAAAGUUGUUGCAGUUAAAAAGCUCGUAGUUGAAUUUCGGGAUCAAUAUGCCGGUCAUGCCUUGGUAUGCACUGGUAUCUUUGAUUUCUCCCUUCUGACGAACUUUGAUGUCAUUAAUUUGGUGUCAUAGGGAAUCAGGACUGUUACUUUGAAAAAAUUAGAGUGUUUAAAGCAAGCUCACGCUUGAAUACAUUAGCAUGGAAUAAUGAAAUAGGACGUUUGAUUCUAUUUUGUUGGUUUCUAGGAUCGACGUAAUGAUUAAUAGGGAUAGUUGGGGGCAUUAGUAUUCAAUUGUCAGAGGUGAAAUUCUUGGAUUUAUUGAAGACUAACUACUGCGAAAGCAUUUGCCAAGGAUGUUUUCAUUAAUCAAGAACGAAAGUUAGGGGAUCGAAGACGAUCAGAUACCGUCGUAGUCUUAACCAUAAACUAUGC
rnacentral:rRNA from 1 species